GCACACAUGCAUACAUGCACAUAUAAUACAUUCAUACAUAUACAUACAUCCAUAUAUAAGGAGUUGGAAACUUUUGCUGUAUGCUUGAAACUAACAUAAAUCAACUAUACUUCAAUUACAGAAAAAGGAAGGGUGCUCUGAGAAGGAUCUGACCAAGAGUAGUUUCAAAGAAUUCCACAAACCUCUGGUUUGAGACUAGAAGGUUUGCAAGAAAAACUUUCAUUUACGAAAGGUUACUUAUUCCCCACCCAAAGAAUAUUUUGAUUUCUGUUAAAUAAUCACCAGGACAAAUAGGAUUGAAAUGUAACCGGAGAAAAUUCCUUGUUUAAUGUGUGUCUUUUUUUCAGGCCUCUUUUUCGUGGAAGUUCAGAUGUCGACCAACUAGGAAAAAUCUUGGACGUAAUUGGACUCCCGGGAGAAGAGGACUGGCCUAGAGAUGUUGCCCUACCCAGGCAGGCUUUUCACUCAAAAUCUCCUCAACCAAUUGAGAAGUUUGUAACAGACAUUGAUGAACAAGGCAAAGACCUACUUCUGAAGUGCUUGACAUUUAAUCCAGCCAAAAGAAUAUCAGCAUACAGUGCCCUGUCUCACCCCUACUUCCACGAUCUGGAGAGGUGCAAGGAAAAGCUGGAUUCCCACCUGCCGCCCAGCCAGAACAGCUCGGAAAUGAAUACCGCCUAACCUGCCUUGAGCUGAUCAUCCGGAGGACCUCCUUGGUGGCUGAGGGGUCCCCCGAGGAAGCCUUGCAGAGCUGUCGAGGAUCGCUGGCUGGAGACCUCCUAGCUGCUGUCUUCCGGAUGGGCUCUGCUUCUCCGAGGGAACCACCUCGUUUACUGUUUUGAAUCAAUGCAAGAGUGAUUGCAGCUUUAUGUCCAUUCAUUUGUUUGUGUGUCUGUUUGUUUCAAGAACCUGGAAGAAUUCCAGAAGAGAAGCUGCUGAUCCGUUGUGCUGCCGUUUCAUUUUUUCUGAUCUUGAAUGCUGCCCGUGUGACGUGAGCAACCCGGGCACAGCUGAGUGAGAUCGCACGUGUAAUCUCUCUGUAGCUGCUGGGGCCUGCUUUGGUACUUCUGAGUGAGUGUGUGUGCAUGCGUGUGUAUGUGUGAUUCUUGAUCUCUUAAAAAGUGUUACUUUCUAUAAGCAAGAGGGAGAAUUGAAUCUUAAAGUCUCAAAGUGACCGCUAAAUAACAGGUGUCUGUUGACUAUAGCAGAUCCACUAAAAUGGACUUCUCAAAUUAGAAAAUUGAGCCUAUGUCCUUAGCAUUUCUUUUCUGGUCAAAAGCAGUCAAUUCACUAAUAGUAAAGGGUUCACCAUCUAGGUGAAGUUUUAUACACACAGCAAAAAGAAAACAUAAUUCUAGUAUCUUUUAAGAAACCUGUUUCUGAAAGCAAAUGUGCUAUUUACUCUUCAAAAAGCUGCAUUUACUCCUUGUCAUUUUAUCCUGUAUAGUAUGCUUGAUUGUUUCUUUUAAAGAAUACCCUUAUAAGCUUGCUAUAGAUUUAGGGAGUGUACCUCAGCAAGGUAAAAUUGUCAAAAAAAAAAAAAUAGAGAAAGCCUUUAUUUCCUGGUUUGGAGUUUAUUUCUUUUUUGGUUUUUGUUGUUACUUUGUUUUGGUUUUGAUUUUAGGAAUUUUCAGGAACUGUUUCCUUUUUGAGUUGGGAGGAUAGUUCUCUCUGACCAGAGGCAGGAAUGCCGUGUUAAGUUUGCCUCCGCCUUUUACAUUGUACUUCUUCUGCAGUGCACUGCUGAAUGCAUAGUGUACAUCUUUAUCUGUCCCCCAGCGUGUCUAAUGUACUUCACUAGCCUUACACAGUUAAUGACAGAUUGCUUAGGCUGUUCUCAUGCAUCUCCUCCUUUCUUUCCUCCAGUGAACCUUUCUUCAAUAGUUUGAUUCAGAUGAUGGCUUAUGGCUCCAAUUCCACAACCCUAACAGAAUCCCAUGUGUUCUCCCGCUACUACAAGCUUCCUGGCAUUUACUGUUGUUACCUAGGCAGUGAGCAGAAGACUGGCUCUUCAUCACUGAGAUGUAGGUUGCUUUAAAGUGUUACUUAGUGUUUUGCAUUUUUAUAGACUAUAUUGUCAGUGUAGUAUCUGAGGGAACGUCCUGAACUAUUUUUUAGGGAUGUAUAUUUACUCUGUAAAAUUACCUGUUCUCCAUCCACCAGGCUGUGCUCACUUCUAGCGCCUUACACACGUUCCCCACCCCCUGCAGAGCCAGCCUGACCUGGGCAUUGUGAACAGCUUUACCUUUCCUCUUGCCAUUUUUCUCCACAGUACUAUAUAUUCCAUGCCAUCUCUGCCGUCUACGUAGUUAGUGCUCAGUCAGCUCUAGUAACCAGAAGACACAGAGAUGAAGUAUCCUUUGGUAAGUUUUAGCUCCCUUGGCUUUCCAAUUCAUGUUUCGCGUGUGUGAAACAGUUAGAUCGUGUUUAGCAUUAGGGGCUUCAAAGAAUGGACGUUGCUUCCCUCAGAAGAAAAUGUUCUAUAUGAUGUUUAUGCAUAAUCAGGCCUUUCUUAGUUCUCCAGAACUUCAUAGUGUAUAUGACUAUCUUGAACAAGAGAAAAAUUAGGAGACUUUUCUCUUUGAGAGCUUUCUGGGUCAGGACCCAUUCUUUUCUAAUAUCUAUAUAUUGUUUAAUAUUGUUCUAAUUCAAUAACUUUAAGAGAAGGAAAAUUUUGCUAAAUCUAGCUAUGAAUGAGAAGAUGGGCCAUGAGAAUUUUUUUACAGUCUUCCUUGUGACAGCAUCGAGAUUAUGUUUUGUCAUCACUGUAAAUGCUUGAGAUAUAAUGGACCCAGAAUAUUCGAGGCAAAUGUACUUGUGGUCUACCCAGAUAAGUGGGGGGCGGGGGAGGGGGGGACACCGAUAAAUGAGUUCUGCCUUUCCUUUGAUCGGGGGUCAAAAUAAUAAAGACCAGGGGCCUGGAAAUUGAAUUUUAAAACACUGCACUGAUCCAUCAGGAGCUUUGCAAUGAGUAUCCAUGGUUAGACUGAACAUAACUUGGGUUUUGGCUUUUGCAAAAAUUUUUCGUAAGUUCACUCAAGAAAAAUGCAGCUGUUCUAAACUGGAAUUUUUCAGCAUUCUUUAGCAUUUUAAACAUGUAGAAAGUCCAACUUUUAUUUCCAACAUAUGCUCCUGAUUCAUUUAUUGGUGGUGUUUGUAAAGAAAACUUCAAGCAUGAACAUUUAGAUACUUGCCAAAUUACCCUGUGAAAGGCAGAACUGUGAACUCGUUAGAGUCUGUCCCCAGCUCCUCCAUCCUGGCGGUUGUUGCACUUGAGUGAUUACUUUUUAUUUUAUGUCUUUCACAUCCGGCUCACCACUUCUGAGGCCCAGAUCCCACACAUGCACCUUUGCCAUUAGGACACUCUGAAUCAUAGAGCAGAAGACAAGCUUACUGAAUGCGGCUUAUUCUUCUGUGACAUAUGGUUUCAGACAGCUUUGCCAAAAGCUAGGCAGUGAUUAGCUGAAAAGGUCAUAUCGCCCCAGGGUUACACUGAAGCAGCUUAUAGCUCUAAGAAACAGGAUGACAGACUUGAAAUCACAUUUGCAUUUCUUACUAGGAUGGGGACAAGAAUGUUUGCCCGAUCGUUUCUGUGUAUUUCGAUCUAGCGGCCCAAGCGUUGGGAACUGCUGUGCCAGGGUGGACUUGUAACAGCCUACAUGUGAAGAGUCCAUUUAGGCAUCAUAAGCUCUCACCUGGCAAAGGUAAUAAGGCUGGAACCUUAUAAUCUUAAAAACACAAUCCCCAAGAGCUUGUCAGAACCCGGUGCACCGGGGCCUCCCACUUGGCCUUCCCCUUUGAAGUGGAUGGGAACUCAAGGAGCGGAGAACCUGUUUCGGAAGAAAGCUCCGGGCCAUUUUAGCCCCCUGUGUUCUCAUGGUUUUCUCUCGGGAAACACACAUUUUGAAUGACUGAUUUUUCACUUAGCCUCAGGUGACAUACUAAAAAUAGUUCAAAAUAUUCACCUGAUUCUCAGCCUCUUCGUUUUGGGUAAAAAUGAAAAUUUCAGAAUGCAUGGGAUGUUACUAUCUUAAAUAAAACAUGGACCUUUUAAUAGAGAAAUUUAUGAUAUGACUCCAGAAUGUGAUACUGUCCAUCCUGGUGAGAAAAAAACUUAAAUAUGACCAAACUUUUGAGUCUUAAAUAAUGGAUUUAAAUUGAGUUUUUAACUAACUAUAGCUACUUCUCUUAAACAGGGGUACCCAUAAAAGUCACUAAUGACAAUUAUUUCUUAAUAGAAAUUAAAUCAUGUAUGCUUCCUAAUAUCAUAAACAUACUAAAAUUCUUCUCUAAAGAAUUGCUUCUCUUUUUAAGUGACUUUACUGUAAUUUUUAUAAGCACAUGAGAGUGUCUCAUUUUCCAAAAACAGGCCAAUGUUGCAUAGGUGGGUCUAGGAAAGAAUGUUGAAAGUUAAUAAGCCACUAUAGUUACUUAAUUGUGUUAGUACAAUUUCUUGGAAUGGAAAUAAUUGAAUAUUAUGUAUUCCAGAUAUUGAUAGAAUUCAAAAGAAUGCUUAAAGACAUAAAAUAGUAUCUUUAUAAAAAUUAAAAUGUUAUUAUUUCUAAAUUUUUUAAAAACCAGAAGAUACUAGGCAGUGGCUAGAGGAAAUUCUGGAGAAAAUGAAGGUAUUCAAAGAAGGAUAGUUUCGAAGUUAUGUAUACUUUAUUUAAAGUCACCUGGCAACUAUGAACGUGAUAUGGUCAAAAACAAAUUUUAUGGAAAAGCCAUUCCAAACAGUUAUCGUUUCAAAGGUUGAGCUAAAGCGAGUUAAACCACCCCUAUUCCUUCCACAUUUCAUGGGAAGACACAGCCAUGUGAAGCUACUCUUGUUGUGCAAGCCUUAAAAUGUUCAUUGUUAAAAACUAAGUAAAUUUUUUAAAGGUAUGUGUUUCCUAUGCCACCAAGAUUUUUGAAAACUUGUGGAACCUAAACCAUUUAUCAUGUGCAUUCAGUACAUACAGACACAUGAUGAGGAAGAUUAAUUACAUGUUCCUUCCCCACAGUGGAAAAACUUCAGGCUCCCAUAAACCUGCCAAGCAAUAUUAAGUCCCCAGAUAACUAGCAGUGGUGUUUUCCUCAAAGGCAUAAGCAGAUAGAAUUUUCACUUUUUUCUGCAUGCAAUUUUCAACCUGGUUUUAUUACACAACUAUAUCUCAAGCAUUUCUAGUUUGUCCUUUUUCAGAAAAUAAACCAAAAAUAUUCCUUUGGCCUUAUCCAUCUUCUGACCUUUGUUAACAACAAAAAAUGGAGAAAGAGGAGGGGUCUGAUUUUUAAAUGUUUUCCUCAGUUAGUUUUUGUUUUUUAAAUGAAGUGCAAGUCAGCUUUUCAAAUGUUUUCUAUUUCUUAGCAUUCCCUGAGAGUUAAUUUAGAUAAAAGAAUGGACGUCCAUCAACAUAUUUAUGUUUUCUUAAUAACUGGUGCUCUGGCCUUCGAGAAUAUAACAAGACUCUCCUGAAAAUAAACACAGUUUUUUCCCAACCAUCUAGUUAAAUACUAGUACAGCAAUUUUAAGUCAAUAUGUUAAGAAGGCGAAGUGGUUUUUCUUUCACAUGUCUGUUUUAAAAUUCACAUUGUCCUAAGGGAUGGCCUUUCUUGUUUUAUUCUAGUAUAUUCCACAAGGUGGCACUUUGAAGGGGGGUAUGGAAUCUGAGCUAUGCCUCUAACUUUAUUUUUCUGCAUACAUUUAACUUUUGCCUAGCACCUGUUUUUCAGGAUGAUUCAUAGUCCUCACAAUGUUCUGUAACUUAGAUAUUUUAGCUAUUAGCUAAGUUCUGAACAGUUGUCUACAAGUAAAUUGUUCUUGAGGAUGCAUAAUACACCCAUUUUGAUUAUUUAAGUGCAUGAAGAGAGCCUAGUUGUUCAUUUGUUCAUGAAACAUCUUUUGAGGUAUCUAGUUACCUCACUUUUCCAGGUCCAGAAGUUAGAAAGUUGGACAGGCUUAUUACUCAAUAGGCAAUACUCAUCUGUGAACAGGAUAGUGUUGUUAGGAGUGUAAGAUUCCUCCAGGGGCCUCAGGCACAAUAUGUAUAUCCCAUGUCAGCUGCUUUCCCAUCGCCUACUGUGGUAGCCGUUAACACAAUCCAGUUUAAAAAUCCUAACUAAAAAAAUCAGAUGCAGACACUAAGUGACACAGCAGCUACUAAAUAGACCAAACUACUUUUGCAAAAAUCUGCUAUGCUGAAACAGAGCCCUAAAAUACUAAAAGACCUGCAAAUUUGUAUAGUCACAAGUAUAAAUUCACAAGAUACUCUUAAUUUUUUUAAAUUUUCUUUAAGCCUAUGAGCUAAUAACUUAGGAGUAUAUCUACAUUAAGUGAUAUCUCCAUUUGUGAAGCAACUUCAUGUUAUAAAAAUAUAUAUGUUUUCAUAGACUUUUGUUUUAAUUCACAGAUCUGCUCAGACACCAUUAUCCACCUGAUGAUUUUAGUCAGUUUGAGAAGUCAUUUUCUUCCGUAGUGUCACUGAACUUUAGAAGGAAGGAAAUCAUGUUAUUUUCCCAGCCUUCCCUCAGCACAAGCCAGCGCAAGGCCGUUUAUUCCUUCUGAGCGGCGGAAACUCCGUAGUCCCUGCUUCACUUUUCUCCGGAGUAGCCAGUUGGCUAAUCUCGGUAAUUAUACUAAAUCAAAAUACCGCACACACUGGGGACUGUCAAAUCUUCGGCCUGUCCCUCUUCUUAAAAUCCCAUUGAAGAAGAUUCCAGUUUAAGCCCCUCAGUGGAAGGCCGAAUUCAAACCUCCAGUCUGUCAUCAUUUGGGCCAGUCUGAACCCUAUUUACUCGUGCUCAAAGCCUCCCUCCCACCGAAGAAGCCUGCCGAGCGCUGCGCCGUCGCCCCGCCCCUUUGGCCGUAGAGGGUCAGUGGGCGGGGCUGACUGAGACCCGCCCACCGCUCACCUGUUCGUGCCUGAUAUUGAUUACAGACCCGGCGCAUUACUGUCCGAGGUCCGUGUUGCCCUGCUGCUGUCUCAGAGGCAUCUGUUUUGCAGUCUUAGGAAGUAAAAUGUCCCUAGAGGCAAACGAUGUCUUCUGUGCAUAAAUAAGUACAACACAAUUCUCCGAAAGUUCGGGUAUAAAGAGAUGCUACUCUAUCAAGCUAUCUAUCAGGCAUCUCUCAAGCUCUAAGCUCUGCUUUUUUUUUUUUUUUUUUUUUUCUCUAAGAGAAGAUGUAUAAUUACAGGAAAGAUUUUUUAUUUUUUUAUUUUCUAUCAUUCUACAUAUAUGAUGGCAAAAGAUAUGCCUGGAAAAGUUUUGUUUGGAAAAUUUUAUUUUCUGCUUCAUCCUCAGUUGGCAAAAGCUCCUAACUCUUUAAUUUCAAACUUUUUCUUUCUCCUUUUUCUUUGUCAGGUAAAUAAAGGUAUGUAAGCAAAUUAUGUUAUGUAGGAGGGAGACUCUCCUGUUUAGAGGAACCUUUGAUGUGAACUGUUUGUCAAACAACCCCUUCCCUAUUUAAGGAGUUUGGAUUGUCAAAUGUAGUUUUUCUUGAAGGGGACACAUAACUACAUAAUGCUGUAAAGAACUAUGAUUAUGGCCGUAAUCAGCAAGCUUAAAGCCACAAGUUAUAUCAUUUCUAACUCUGUGGUUUCUAGCCAAACCCAAUGAAGUGCUUAGGUUACAGUCCUGAAGAGACCCUUCAUACCCUUACUUGAAAGUCUCUAACCUUAAGUUUUAUUAAAUGCAAUAAUAUGUAUUAACUAGCAAUAUUUGUGUGAUCACCAGCAACUCUGAAUUUGACUUUGAAGUCUCUGGAUAAGGAAAAUAGAGCCCAGCAGUAAUACACAUCUUGAACCCCCUGCCCCCACCAACUGUAUUGUAUAUCUUGCCAUUUUGGUCCUGUGUUUGCAAGAAAUGUAUACAGGAAUAUUUUAAUUCCUUAACUUACUUUGUAUUCAUUUUAUUUUUCUGUGACCAGUGAUAAGUCUGUUAGUUAGCACAUGGAAUGAAUAGCAUCAACUACUCCUAGGAUCAGCAUUUAACACGGUGGGAAAUUUUUAUUCCAAGUUGUUCUACAUUUGCAUAAAUUAUUUCUAUUAUUGUUCAUGUAUAUUAUUUAUUUCUCAAUCACAUUAGUCCUGUGAAAGUACAACAGAAGGCAGACCGCAUUAGGAUUUGCAUUUAAUGCUCAUUAUCAUGGUCUUGAUGGAACUAAGAAAAUUAAAAUUAAGACUAAGCCCCCAAGUAAGCUGCAUGCAUUUUAACAUGAUUAGUAGAAUUUAAGUCUAUAGAGAUAGUAUUUUUUGUGUCUAGGUGUUUUAUAAGUAUGUAAAGGAAUUAAAGCAAAGAACUUUGUAGUUGUUCUCUUGUCAAGUAUGCAUAUAUUAUGGUGUGAAAUACAGCAAAAAUUAAAACUGCAGAUAGCAAAGCAUCGAAUAAGGCCUUCAGUUAGGAACUCUGCCAGGUGGUCAUCAUAAUAGAUGGCAGGUAGAGACAGAUGCCUGGUUGGCACUUCCGCUUAGCUGCCCAAGAGAAGAAGCCCAUCCCCCACACACACACUCAAUCUGUGCCCUCAUAGCUGUUGGGUACAGUAGGGGGAGCAGGUAGCCCUGUUGAAAAGAGACCAGUGUGUGAGUUUUCUGUAGAAGCAGAACUGCCAGCCUGUGCCAUGAGGCUUCCAGGACGUGCCAGAUGGGAGAAGUCCAAGGUUCCGUGCUUCAAGCAAGGUGGUUUUGUAGAGAAGCACUGCAGUCUGGUCAUUAAAACAAAGAAGGGCUGCGGGUACAUUGUCAGCAAUGGAAUUUUAACCACCAACAGUCCCUAACACCUCAAAAGCUUGUUGCAUGUCUGCUAUUUUAAGUUUUGACCUGAAGGUUACAAGGCAAGUGUUUUGUAUAGAAGAGCAGUAUGUGUUAAGAAAAGCACAAUGUCGGUUCCUGUAGAGUGCCGAGUAGGACUAGAGGAUUUUAUAGGCUUAUCAUUUCUAAGAUGUGUAAA